rnacentral:rRNA from 1 species
AACGAACGCUGGCGGCAUGCCUAACACAUGCAAGUCGAACGAUGCCUUCGGGCAUAGUGGCGCACGGGUGCGUAACGCGUGGGAAUCUGCCUUUCGGUUCGGAAUAACUCAGGGAAACUUGAGCUAAUACCGGAUAACGUCGCAAGACCAAAGAUUUAUCACCGAAAGAUGAGCCCGCGUAGGAUUAGCUAGUUGGUGAGGUAAAGGCUCACCAAGGCGACGAUCCUUAGCUGGUCUGAGAGGAUGAUCAGCCACACUGGGACUGAGACACGGCCCAGACUCCUACGGGAGGCAGCAGUGGGGAAUAUUGGACAAUGGGCGAAAGCCUGAUCCAGCAAUGCCGCGUGAGUGAUGAAGGCCUUAGGGUUGUAAAGCUCUUUUACCCGGGAAGAUAAUGACGGUACCGGGAGAACAAGCCCCGGCUAACUCCGUG